rnacentral:lncRNA from 1 species
GCUGGUAUGCCUCAGGUUAUUUGGAUGAACAUGGCAGACACGCUUAAGGAAGCUUGAGCUGCUUCUGCUUCAUCUGCAGAAAGAAAAGCAGUCUUAUCUCCUUUAGAGAACAAGUGUAGGCAGCACUUCUGUGGAGCACUACAAGGCUGCAGAGCCAGUAAAACUCACUGAUGUCCCAGAACAUCAGCUCUGUAACAUGGAGUGAGACUUCUUCCGCUUGACUGCAAGAAAAAUAAGUCAGCCUCCAGUCUUCCUCCUAUCUCCAAACCAAAGCUUCUGCAAGAUCAAUGCCUCAAGCAUGACCUCAGUGGAGCUCUGGAUUUCACUGUAAGAGUUUUGAGCACAUUUCAUUGUCACCACAAAGCUCUAAUCCUCUUGCA